AAUACUUAUUUUUUUUCCAGUUGGACACUUCAUUGCUAUUAUUAUUUUAAAUAAAUAGUGUUAUUCAGGACUAUGGGAUAAAAUUCUACCCUGGAGUGGUAAUACUUUCUUUCUUUCUUUUUUUCUUCCAGGGUUAUUGCUGGGGCUCUGUGACAACACUACAGAUGCACUGUUCCUGGUGGCCAUUUUUUCCAUUUUAUUGGAUAGGACAGAGAGAAAUUGAGAGGGGAGGGGAGAUAGAGAAGGACAGAGAAAGAGAGACACCUGCAAACCUGCUUUUCCACUUGUCAAGGAACUCCUCUGCAGGUGGGGAGCCAGGAGCUCAAAUUUGGAUCAUUGCACCAAACCAGGUAUGCCACCAUUGGACCCCCAAGAGGAUGGAGGAUAAAGGGGAGAGGGAGAGAGGAGGAGAAAUACCUGUAGCACUGCUCCACCACUUGUGAAGCUUCCCCUCUACAGGCAAUUGACUGAAGAAUGCCAUACCAUUAUUUCAAAAAGGAAGACAGCUACUGUUUUUGCAGUGACUAUAAUGACUAUCAUCUUGCAGGGUCAGAUCAGUUUCAAAGAUCGCUGUCCGGGUGGGAAGCAGCUGAAGUUGUAGCUGGCCUGAAUGCAUAAAUGAAGCCUCACAGCGGAAACUUUCCUUCUGAGUUGAAAAGUCAGUGGAAUAUUCAUCGACAUGUAACAUGAGCACAGGAUGCCGAGAAAGACAUGCUUUUCCUCUUAGCCCAGCUGACUGAUAAAUCAGAAGUUCUUCCUACUAUUUUCUGCUCUGUGACAUCAAGGAAGCAAUCUGACCACAGAAUAAGGGCGAUUGAAACUGAGUGCUCCAGCCCCCUCUUCCAGUUGGUAUUUACCAGAGCCAGCAGUGAAGGAGGAACAGAGUGUCCCCAUAUAUGUGUCAACCAAAUGUUUUCUGCCUCCCUUCUCCUGGACAGAAGCAUAAAGGUCAUGCUUUUGACAUCAAGACUAUUCUCAAAGUUGAUGCAGACCAAGGGGUGGUAGGCAAAGACCUGUAGGUGGAAAUUGAUUUGUUUCCCUGUCUUUGUAAAUAAAGUUUUAUUGGUACACAGCUA